rnacentral:rRNA from 1 species
AUGGUGAUCAGAAAGUUUUGGACAUUCUACAGGUGUGAGGAGGGAUACGAGGAGGAGGCGGCAGAUGUUAUCCAGAAGGAGUGCAAGCGCCUACUUCAGAACUUACAGCAUGAGGCUCGGGUGCAGUCUGUUCGAGACUACUACGCCGACCGUGGUAUCAAGAAGUCCAAGCAGGAGUGCCGCGAUAAGUUCUUGAGUAAGGAGCAUUACAUGAAGGCCCCUCAGAGAUGGUGUGCGGAUCGGAUGGAUUGUUGGGAGGUGUUGGUCGAUGGGUGGUGCUCAAAAGAAUGGCGGGCCACCCACAACGAGGCCAAGGACAAACGUGCCCAAAUGGAAGGUGUGCCACACCACCAAGGCAGCUCCAACUUAUUUCAGUACGGGCGGAACUGGGCACGCUACAAUAAGGCGGAUAAGGUGCCAGAGGUGUACGACCUGUAUGCCAUGGCCCACACUGGCUCUUACAAGAAAGUCAAGGCAUUCUCUGCGUCUGACCUCGAUGAUCCAAAGAACUUCACCAACAUCUCCGCCCACGACAAGCUCGUGCAAUAUAGAGAUCAGGGGAAGGCGAGGAAAGGGAAGGACUUUAAUCCGAGCCAGGGUCCCAUUGAUACAGAGUUGCUGAUGAUAUCUGGUGGCGGGAGGUCCCAUGGCUCCAUAGCCAUGGGAGAUGGACUUAUCCGUUGUCCUAGCACUCUCCCGGAGAUCAAGGUGCACCAGUCGAGCUCCGCUCCUGAGAAAAGGCCUCGUGAACGGCCAGUCCAACUCGCCAUCAAGGCUGCUAUACAGAGUGAGAGAGAUAGAACGGAGAAACUUCUGGCGGAGGCGGCGGAGAGGCAGCGGGAGUUGGAGGAGAGGACGACAAAGAUGUUGCAGGAGGAGAGGGCACGGAAUGACAUGCAGGCAAGGGCCAUGUAUGAGCUCCUUGUGUCUGUGUGUGAGAAGUCCGGUCAGACCGCUCCGCCGAUGCCAGUGAUUGCUCCUGGGAGCACGCUUAACUCCAGAAAUGCAUCGCACGAUCCUUCUCCAGCUACCGGCACGAGCCAGCCCGCUCCUCCACCUCCCUGA